GACGGAGGAGGCAAGCGUUAUCCGGAAUUAUUGGGCGUAAAGGGUACGUAGGCGGCUGGUCAAGUCUGGGGUCAAAGGCCACAGCUCAACUGUGGGAAGGCCCCGGAAACUGACCGGCUAGAGUGAGGUAGGGGUUGCGGGAAUUCCCAGUGUAGCGGUGAAAUGCGUAGAGAUCGGGAAGAACACCUGAGGCGGAAGCGCGCAACUGGGCCUCAACUGACGCUGAGGUACGAAAGCUAGGGGAGCGAAGGGG
rnacentral:rRNA from 1 species